UAUUCACAAACGAUACUUACCUAUGCAAAGCAGCAACGCUAUGCGAAAUGAGACAUUUCUCAAUGCGUUCCAUAUGACAAGCCUUUCAAUUCAUAAACAAUACUUAAACGACCCUUGACUAUGCAAAAUCAGAGUGUUGAAUAGAGUUCUGUGAUUGGUUCGCUUAUGUUACGCACUUCACUCCGCUAACUGACAUGACAUUCCUGUCAUUCAAACGGUGCAACGGUUUAUAAGUGUCGUUAUUUUGUGGAUUUGUGAAUUAAAUAAAUAUGGAUAAAACUACAACUAUCAGGCUCACACAUCAACUGAAAAGCUGCUGGAAUAAUUUAAUGACCCAAAGAAAGAAAGAACUUUCUCAGGAAUCAAUCAAACGUUCUCAACACCCACUAGUAUCAAGAAAUUAAGAUUAGUAGUAGCAAGAAUGAAGAUUAAGACAGAAACAAGAAUCAAACGCACCACAUUGAAUAAUAUACAAAAAGACCAGGCUUUGCACGAGUUGGGGCUACAAAGAGAAAAAAUAUUGAUAGAAAGAGAAAAUAAUUUGUUAGAACAUGAAAAAAAGAUUUAUGAUUUACAAAUACCUACAUAAAAUUAAAUUAGACAUUGAAGAUUGAUGAGAAUAAAACUUCAUUAAAAAUUUUAUGUUUUAUUUGCCACUAGCAACUGAUACAUUAUGUAGGUAGCACUGGAAGGCCUCCUCGCAGUUAAUUUCCUCAGGUCUUCUUUUAUCAGUGGUAAAAGUAUGAAAAGUACCCCAUCAUUGGAAAACCUAAACUAAAUUCGUCUGAAUUGUAAUAAUCAAGGGAUUUUGGGAAUCCCGUAUCACUUUUCUGGUACUUAUUCUACUUUGCUCAUUGAUAUAAUUAUCAAAUUCUUCUUCACUACUGUAAUCCAUUGUAAGAUAAUAUUAAUCGAAUACAACCAUAAAUAAAGCAAAAAAACCUCAAAAACGAGAAUAACCUAAAAAUUUUGACGUAAAUAGACACUAUGCGUUGCGUAAUACAGCUCCAUGGCUACCUUAGCUUUGCGUUCAUUCUAAGGGACGCAUAGUGCUUGUCACCACUGAAGUAUCGUCUAUGAAUAGGUUUUUGGGACCCUGUGCAUCCACGCGCACUAUGAGGCCUCAAAGUAAUGUUUGUGAA